rnacentral:misc_RNA from 1 species
AUACAAGCGAGCCUGCUCGCGAUGGCAUUGGCUCAGUCAACACCCAUGGCGUUUGACACACCGUCAUCGCGAGCAGGCUCGCUCCCAC